rnacentral:rRNA from 1 species
UACGGGGGGGGCAAGCGUUGUUCGGAAUUACUGGGCGUAAAGGGCUCGUAGGUGGCCAACUAAGUCAGAUGUGAAAGCCCCGGGCUCAACCUGGGAAUUGCAUUUGAGACUGUGUAGCUAGGGUGCGGAAGAGGGAAGCGGAAUUUCCGGUGUAGCGGUGAAAUGCGUAGAUAUCGGAAGGAACACCAGUGGCGAAAGCGGCUUCCUGGUCCAGCACCGACGUUCAGGCACGAAAGCGUGGGGAGCAAACAGG